UGGCGGAAUCGAGCCUGCUAGCAGAGGCUCCAAGGAUGUUGGGUGAUAGGGCCCAUUCCAUGCCCCGGUUGUGCUGCUGGGUGAGCUUAUUCACCCUUCUUGUCAACGAGUUGUUCAUGUCUGGCAAGGUUCCUGCAUUUUUUUUUUGUUUAUUUUAGUUGACCGGAUGCUCAGAUUUAGCUAGGCUUUCAUAUAGGAUUUUUUUACCUUUUAAGUUUGUUGGGUACCUCGGAUAAGUUUCUGCAAAGGGGAUUUUUGUUUGUUCCUGCUCAGGAGAUGCUCUCUGGCCUAGCUAGAUUCAUAAAAAAAAUUGUUUCCUUUCUUAGUUUGUUUGGUAGCUUGCUCUUUCCUCGUCAAGAAGGGGAUCAAUUUGCCAUGGACCUCAUUUCCCCACUAUAAAGGAGGCUUUUGUUCCUUUGCUUGAUGUGUUUCCCGCUUUUUGAUUGUAGGAUUUUCAGGAAGAGCCUUCCUACCCAAAAUUAUUGGAUAAAUUCAACAUAUCUGUGGAAAUCUAGGUAUGAGAUGGUUUUAUUCUAUCUUGUGUUCUUACAUAUUUUAAUAGCAAAAUUACUGAAUCAUAGAAGUUGUCAGUCAUUUUGCCUUUAUACUGUAUAUUAAUUCAUUCUUUUGGGUAGGUAACUAAACUCCUUUAAUUUUACUGAAUCAUUGAAGUUGUCUUUGCUAACCUGAGUUUUGCUUUGCAACAAUUUGAUUGCUUGUAUAUUUGUGUAGUUUUCUGCAGAUUCAUACGCCUCUGAAUGUUGUUCCAUAACUGAUGACUCAAAGUGAUUAUACACUGAAACCGAAGCCUUUGGAAAAUGAAACAGAAACCUUACUUAAGAGCAGGCAGAGGCGUGGAGCCAAUGGUAUGCUCUUGGAUCAAUAUUCCACAGUUAAACAACAUUCAUAUGUUCUAGCAUCUAUAGAUUUACAUUUGCCUUUAAACAGUCUAAUUACAUGUAAAAACUGCAUCCAUUUUGGUAUGUGAUACUGCAAGUGUAAAUUAAGAAAGUAGCCUUUACGGUCUAGCUUCAGUAUCUGUAAAUCAUGGUUACGUACAUACUACAUAAAAAAUGGAGCAUCCUUAUGCUACCAAAUUAUUUGCUUGAUCUGGCUUGUUGGUUUCUGAAUACUCAAUUUUGUUCUUCUAUUUUACAGGUGAUGUUGUUGUUGCCUGCUCUUCUAAACUGCUGCUUGUUCAUCGUUUGCUGUUUUGCCUAUCAAGGUUUGUGCUUCCUCUUUAAGCUAUAUUUUCUUUUGAUUAUUGUUUUUGUCUGCAGUUUUCUUCUUAUCUGUGGCAAUGUAUUUGGAUCAUGUUUAUCUCUGAAGCAUAUUGGUUGUCUGGCUUGAUCUUUGUACUAGCAAGAAGGUAACUACUCAAAGCAGUUGGCAAGACAAGCAUUCGAUGGAGCUCAAGCGUUGAUCUUAAGGAAGGUAACUACUCAAAGGUAUGCACCUAUUCAUGUUGGAGCAGUUAAGUUUGCAAGGAUUUGCUGCUGGAGGGCAUGGUAUGUGCUCUCAAGAAGUUCUUCGUGAUCCGGUGACAUCUUUUGGCCUAUUAGGGAACUGGACAUGAUUUAUAUUGCGAAGUUCAAUGUAUGGAUGACAACUUCCUCUCAUAUCUGUUCUGUAUAUUUUAUAUACAUGGCUUUUGUGUUCUAUCAUGUGCGCUCCUGCCGCAGACUUUUGCAGAGAAAUUCACCAUGAGUUAGAAUGUAUAUAUUUUCAACUACAGCCUUUUUUUCAAAAGGCAAAAGAAUUUCUGCAUGAUCACAUGUCAUGAUUAUUUCCAUGAAAAAUGCUUUAGACAGUACAAAAAUGCUUUAGACAAUACAAAAAUGCUUUAGACUGUACAAAAUUGUAAAGGAAUCAUGGGGCACUGUUGUAUGUCGCUGCUGAACAGAAGCAGGAUGCAACCAUAAAGAUUUUGUUGAAUCACCAUUCAGAUGCAAGUCCCAUUAAAUGUCUCUUUAUCAUUAUCUUAAAUCACAUUCCUUUAUAGUUUUCUCACUGUUAUAUUUGAUAAUCUUUGAUUGUCUGCUUUCUCCAUUUUCCAGUUAGUUGAAUCUCGACAGUAAAUUAGUUAGUAUUUUGUUUUAUCUCUGAAAUCUCGAGAAGUACACAAGUUGUUAGGUGUAGAAAAGUACACAAGUUGUUAACAUUUGAAAUUAGAUUUACGUUCGCCUUUUACUCAUUCUAUUUUUUGCAUAAUUGUGUCCUGUCUGUCAAGACAUGCUGAAAAGCUAGCUGUUCUGCAGCAAGCAGAGAGUCAUGGGCUCUUUCUGCGAGUCACCUGCUUCUCAUGUACAAAUAUUUCACCAUCUAAGUUUGAAAUAAAAUUGUACAUCAAAGAUAUCAAUGAUUUGCCAAGACUCCAAAGUCUUGUUGUUAUUUUUUGUAACUUCUGAUCUUGAACUUUGAUCGACAGAUAGUUAUGACUCUUCGACAUCAGAAAAUAUUUUAGUUUAUUUUGGGGUGGAUGUUAUUGUGGUAUCAAUACGGCUUCAUUCCACUUUAUCUAGCGCGGCACAGGUCAAUAACUACUUCCUUUGAUUUCUUCAUCAUGAAUACCUAUAUGCAUUUAUUAAAAAGCCUUUAUUGUUCGUAUUGAGUGAAUAAGAACUGCAGUAGUUUCUCAAUGUGGAGGCCAUUAUAUUACGAUAUAAGAUGGACUGCUGAAGGGCGAUGUAUCCUUUUGGGGUUAAAGAUAUAAAGAACUACCUGGCUUAUGAGGUUGAAGAGAGAUCAAAUGGCUUCUUUUGGUUCUUGAAGGCCUGCACUUUCCUGGUGGAGCAGCAGCAAAAUAAUUCAGAGGCUUUAAAGCUACUCCACUUCAUGUAGUUAGGAUCAAUUCUUUGUUUUGGUUUGAAAUACUCCCCAGUCCCUCCUAUUUGAUUGAUUCAUCUAAUGGUCAUUUUGCCAGGCAAAUAAAUAGAAGGCAGAUGUUUUUUUUUUGGAGAGUAUGGCAUAUGUAUUGUUACAGAGUGAAGCCAUCCAUACAAGUCGAUAUAUUAAUAACCCCAUAUGUGGAAUUCAAGAUAUAGAGAAAUGUUCCUUGUUCUACUAAUCGGUUGCUUGACCAAAUGUACUGUAAAUGGUGUUAUUAUUGUUCAAGAUAUAGAUAAAUGUUAUUGUUCUUCAUUGUAGUGGAUGAUAUCCAUCCUAAUUAUCGAGAUGAUGUAAGUACUACUUAGGAGUUUUGUCUCUGACCGAACAAGUUGUUGAGGAAGAAGGGAUAAAUAAGUGCCCAGAAGAAGGGAUUAGUAAGUUGCUUGAUUCAUGGGCCGAACUGGUUGCCAUACGACUGCUUAGAAAUAUACAUGCAUUUAAGUGGCACAAAAGCACAAAAACAAAGUUGAUAGAAACACUACUCUUUCUAAAAUAUUUUAAGGCCUCCAUAACAGGUUUUAUACAUGGUGUUAAGUAUACAUAUGUUCUCAAGGGGUUUUAUUUCCUGGCAUUUUGAACCCAAGGGGGUUUUCUCUGUCAAAUCAGCUUAUAAAAUUCAGUUUGGUAUUACCCAGCAACAAGCUAACCGUGCUACUGGUGAAGGCUCAGCGGG
rnacentral:lncRNA from 1 species